UCAUUGAAUGAUGCUUAUUUGCUGUAAUAUUGAGGGUAAUGCCCUUGAACCUACGAAACAUGCUGAAUAUCAUAUGAUUCUUUGUUGAACUGGAUUGUUUUGUUAGUAUAGAAGUAAUGGGAGUAUAUUGUUGAAAGUAUAAUAUCAGAGUGGUCUAUGGGGGGUUUUGAAAAUCAUAUUUGAUAAAUCUUAACAUUUUUAGAGUAAGUUCAAUAUUAAGAAUAUUAUUAGUGUUAGAUGGAUACUGAAUAAAAGCUAGUGUAACAAUUUGUCCGGCAGAUAAGUUGGUUGGUUUUCUACAGUGUAACAAUUUCAAAAGGUUGGAAGAUCUUUGCUGUUGCUAAUUUUGCUGACAGUAAUAAGUUGUGCAUAAUGAACCCUACAUGUUAUUCUCUAGACAUCCUUAAUAUCGCUCAACUGUUGAAAUAAUAUCAUUUGUUUCUUGUUGUAGACACAGUGAUUUGUAGCGAGAUUGAGGAUGCUACCUGCAGAUGUUCUAAAGAAAACCUUCAAGAAGUUGGACCAUGAUGUAAAUAUAGAGAAUUUUAUGUGUUCAAGGAUUACUUUGAGGCCAAUCUCUUUGAAGUUGCUGUUUGUUGUGGAAAUUAAAUUAUUGAUUUUAUAAUUCAUAUAUUGUAAUUUAGUAUUUCGUAAUGUAAUAUAUAAAUAACAAAUAAUAUAAUAUGUAGUGGAUUGUAUUGUAAUGCAUGCAUACUUGCAUA